CAAGUCGAACGAGAAAGCGGGAGCAAUCUCGCAAGUACAGUGGCGUACGGGUGAGUAACACGUGGAUUAUCUGCCCUGGAGUGGGGAAUAACGCUGGGAAACCGGCGCUAAUACCGCAUAUUCCCGAGAGGGGAAAGCAGCAAUGCGCUCGAGGAGGAGUCCGCGGCCGAUUAGCUAGUUGGCAGGGUAAAAGCCUACCAAGGCUAUGAUCGGUAGCCGGCCUGAGAGGGCACACGGCCACACUGGCACUGAAACACGGGCCAGACUCCUACGGGAGGCAGCAGUGGGGAAUCUUGCACAAUGGGGGAAACCCUGAUGCAGCGACGCCGCGUGAGCGAUGAAGCCCUUCGGGGUGUAAAGCUCUUUCGGCAGGGAAGAUUAUGACGGUACCUGCAGAAGCAGCUGCGGCUAACUACGUGCCAGCAGCCGCGGUAAUACGUAGGCAGCAAGCGUUGUUCGGAGUUACUGGGCGUAAAGGGUGUGUAGGCGGCCUGUUAAGUUCCGUGUGAAAUCUCCCGGCUCAACCGGGAGGGUGCGCGGAAAACUGGCGGGCUAGAGUGCGGGAUGGGAGAGUAGAAUUCCUGGUGUAGCGGUGAAAUGCGUAGAUAUCAGGAGGAAUACCGGUGGUGUAGACGGCUCUCUGGACCGCAACUGACGCUGAGACACGAAAGCGUGGGUAGCAAACAGGAUUAGAUACCCUGGUAGUCCACGCCCUAAACGAUGCAUAUUUGGUGUAGGUCAUUCAGUUGAUCUGUGCCGGAGCUAACGCGUUAAAUAUGCCGCCUGGGGAGUACAGUCGCAAGGCUGAAACUCAAAGGAAUUGACGGGGGCCCGCACAAGCGGUGGAGCAUGUGGUUCAAUUCGACGCAACGCG
rnacentral:rRNA from 1 species